GCAACGAUUACCCGUGAACCUGGUCAGAUCCGGAAGGAAGCAGCCACAGCGGGAACAUUGUGUGCCGGGGUGUGGCUGGU
rnacentral:SRP_RNA from 1 species